UGCGGGGUGGAGCAGUCUGGUAGCUCGUUGGGCUCAUAACCCAAAGGUCGUAGGUUCGAAUCCUGCCCCCGCUA
rnacentral:tRNA from 2 species